ensembl:misc_RNA Metazoa_SRP Metazoan signal recognition particle RNA
GCUGGGCGCCGUGGCGCGUGCCUGUAGUCCCAGCUACUCGGGAGGCUGAGGAGGUAGGAUCGCUUGAGCCCAGGAGCUCUGGGCUGUAGUGCGCUAUGCUGAUCGGGUGUCCGCGCUAAGUUUGGCAUCAAUAUGGUGACCUCCUAGGAGCAGAGGACCACCAGGUUGCCUAAGGAAGGCUGAACUGGCACAGGCUGGAAAUGGAGCAGGUCAAAACUCCCGUGCUGAUUAGUAGUGGGAUCGCUCCUGUUAAUAGCCACUGCAUUCCAGCCUGGGCAACAUAGCGAGACCCUGUCUCUA